rnacentral:tRNA from 1 species
GAGGGUAUAGCUCAGUGGUAGAGCACAUGCUUAGCAUGCACAAGGUCCUGGGUUCAAUCCCCACUACCUCCA